UGUGGAUGAUGACUACGUUGUCCCUGAUCAUAGCUGAGGGUCAAAACUGAUUUAAUGAGCCUGAUGC
ensembl:snoRNA SNORD57 small nucleolar RNA, C/D box 57